UGCUGAAUCACUGGUUCCUGUACGAUCACCGAAAUUAAGCAAUGUCAAGCCUUGUCAGUACUUAGAUGGGUGAUCGCUUGAGAAUAUCAGGUGCUGUAAG